rnacentral:rRNA from 1 species
UACAUGGGGUGCAAACGUUGCUCGGAAUCAUUGGGCGUAAAGCGCGCGUAGGCGGUUGCUUAAGUCGGAUGUGAAAGCCCCUGGCUCAACUGGGGAAGUGCACCCGAAACUGAGUGGCUUGAGUACUAAAGAGGGUCGCGGAAUUCCCGGUGUAGAGGUGAAAUUCGUAGAUAUCGGGAGGAACACCGGUGGCGAAGGCGGCGACCUGGGUAGAUACUGACGCUGAGGCGCGAAAGCGUGGGGAGCAAACAGG